rnacentral:misc_RNA from 1 species
UAAUCUCACUACGAUCGACUUUUGGUCUUUCAGUACGUGGACUUGGAUGCUGCCGUGAUAUUCACGACUCGUCUGAAAUGCCUGAGUGUACCCCGCUUUGCGGCGUAUUCGGUGUGAUACAUCUUCACCGGAGUUGAUCCUUUUGGGUCGCGUCUGUAAUGGUGUGGCUCUAUGCUUUGAACCGUCUCCCAGGGACAACCUCUGACA